GCUUGCUGAAGAUCGGCCAGUAAAUCUCGUCGGCCUCAACGCCCAAACAUUGCCAGCGCCGCGGGCUCUCGUCUGGCGCGGAAGCCGUGAAAAUACGCGGUGUGCGAGCCCGGCGCUUGCAUGCAAGGGACCGUCAAACGGGCCGCCCGCGUGAAUGGGUGUUCUUCUUCGCGUGCCUCGUGCACGUGCGGCUUCGCGGACCCGCACGGCGAGAGGAUGGUCUCGAACGCCCGCUCCGGACGGAGGUGUCUUGAAGGUGCCAAAUGCAAGCAAGCAAGCAAGCAAGCAAGCAAGCAAGCAAGCAAAGAAUUAAGGUCGUUUCAGGAUGGCUAAGGACUGGCUACCCGGCUCGCACACUGCCCAGCGAUGCACGGAACCGGGCCUAUACGCAUGCGCGGCACCUAGCGCGGAGUGCGGGAUAGCGGAGGCCCCGGACCCCCCGCGGGGCUGGCGGCGGUGGACAACGGCUCGGCUCCUCACCUCGCAGUGGAGCCGGCGCGGCUCGCACCCGAAAAUUAUCUGCCGCGCACCCAGGCCUGCUGGGUGGUCCUCGCGCGAGGGCCUGA